rnacentral:rRNA from 1 species
UACGUAGGGUGCGAGCGUUGUCCGGAAUUAUUGGGCGUAAAGGGCUCGUAGGCGGUUUGUCGCGUCGGGAGUGAAAACCUUGGGCUUAACUCAGGGCUUGCUUUCGAUACGGGCAGACUAGAGGUAUGCAGGGGAGAACGGAAUUCCUGGUGUAGCGGUGAAAUGCGCAGAUAUCAGGAGGAACACCGGUGGCGAGGGCGGUUCUCUGGGCAUGAUCUGACGCUGAGGAGCGAAAGUGUGGGGAGCGAACAGG